GUAGGCCUCGGGCUUGCUCCCAGGUUCUGCUUUAUCUCCCCUCGUCAUGGCACAGGAAAAUAACGACGCAAGUCCAACGCUAAACUGUCAAAAUAUAAAGAGCUGAAGUUCAGGGAAGAUCACUUGGAAGCAGAGACCAGAAAGCAUUUUCUCACUCCUAUCUAAAUGUUUCCACUACCUUAUUCAUGUUUCCUUUAAAAUAUUAAUAAAAAGAAAUAUGGCUUA